GAUGAAGAACGUAGCGAAAUGCGAUACGUAGUGUGAAUUGCAGAAUUCAGUGAAUCAUCGAAUCUUUGAACGCACAUUGCACCUCUCGGUAUUCCGGGAGGUAUGCCUGUUCGAGCGUCAUUUGUACCCUCAAGCUCUGCUUGGUGUUGGGUGUUUGUUCCGCCUCUGUGUGUGAACUCGCCUCAAAACAAUUGGCAGCCGGCGUACUUGUUUCGGAGCGCAGCACAUUUUGCGAUCCAGAUCAACGUACAGCGGCAUCCAAGAAGCCUUAUUUAACGCUCUUUACCUCGGAUCAGGUAGGGAUACCCGCUGAACUUAAGCAUAUCAAUAAGCGGAGGA
rnacentral:misc_RNA from 1 species